rnacentral:lncRNA from 1 species
ACUCCUCUUAGGUGUUUUUGAGAUGAUAAUUUCCCAAGAUCAUUUAGCUUGUUGGAAAAAGAGCUGAGAUUUGAACUUGGGACUGCCCGAUUUCAGAACUGGAGCUAAAAGCCUGCAACAUUAAUAGGAGGUGGUUUUGGAGGUGCCCCAGCUUAGGGGGCUGGAGCCUACAGGGUAGCCCCCUUCUCUGUCAUGUGGUAGGGGCGCCCUCUCUGGGGAGGAGGAGGCUGGAGACACAGACCUCACUGUUUCUCUGGCUGAGCUACAGACAAGAGCGUGUGCUGCCGGCUGUCCUGUCUAUGGGUCCACGCUUCUCUGCAGGAAGAAUGAAGUCUCAAGCCCCAUCGGGCCCUGACUGGUCUCACAAGAUGAAGAAGCUGAGGAAACUUGCCCAAGGAACUUGCCAAAGGUCAUGGUGCCAAAGAUCAGGGAACCAGUAAAAAACUCAGCAAGACAAGCU